AACGAACGCUGGCGGCGCGCCUAAUACAUGCAAGUCGAGCGAGAAGGUGUAGCAAUACACUUGUAAAGCGGCGAACGGGUGAGGAAUGCAUGGGUAACCUACCCUCGAGUGGGGAAUAACUAGCCGAAAGGUUAGCUAAUACCGCAUACGUUUCCGGAACUUCGGUUUCGGAAAGGAAGCAAUACCGUGGGUAUUGCGCUCCUGGAUGGGCUCAUGUCCUAUCAGCUUGUUGGUGAGGUAACGGCUCACCAAGGCUUCGACGGGUAGCUGGUCUGAGAGGACGAUCAGCCACACUGGCACUGCGACACGGGCCAGACUCCUACGGGAGGCAGCAGUAAGGAAUAUUGCGCAAUGGACGAAAGUCUGACGCAGCGACGCCGCGUGGGGGAUGAAGGUCUUCGGGAUUGGUAAACCCCCUUUCGGGAGGGAAGAUGGAGUGGGUAACCACUUGGACGGUACCUCCAGAAGCAGCCACGGCUAACUUCGUGCCAGCAGCCGCGGUAAU
rnacentral:rRNA from 1 species